GGUUGCCCAGCAGCUGUUUGACUCCUGGGGUUCUGCUGGCAUAAAACUUUCUUCUCUGAAUUCUCUGGUGUUGACUUGAGUGUGGUUUUUUUUCUUCCUGUUGCUUGUACUCUGGGGCCCACAAGUAUGGAUGAGAGAGAGGGUCAUGACAGAUGGGCACAUGUUGGGUGGAACAUCCCUCUGGCUGCACCUGUUCCUGUCUUUGUGAUGUUUACCUGUCGGUUUACAGUCUGGAUUGUGCUGUUGACUCCUGUGUUUGUGCUGGAUAGGAAGUGUGAGAAGUCAUCUGUGAAACCAGGGUCUAGGGAUGGAGGAAAUCUAGCCCUGAAUGUUUCUCCCCCACCCCCUAGGAAGCAGAUUGGUUUUCUCUGCAAACACGUACAGGAUUGUCGUCAAUUUGCUCUGGUUUCUUGGGCAUUCCUGCCCUCUGUACCUCUACCGCCCAGUAUCUCUUUCCCU
rnacentral:lncRNA from 1 species